rnacentral:tRNA from 1 species
GGGCGAUUAGCUCAGUGGUAGAGCGCGCCCCUGAUCACGGGCGAGGUCUCUGGUUCAAGUCCAGGAUGGCCCA